CCUACGGGAGGCAGCAGUGGGGAAUAUUGCACAAUGGGCGAAAGCCUGAUCCAGCAACGCCGCGUGAGCGAUGAAGGCCUUCGGGUCGUAAAGCUCUGUUCUCAAGGAAGAAAAUGACGGUACUUGAGGAGGAAGACCCGUCAAACUACGUGCCGGCAGCCGCGGUAAUACGUAGGGGGCUAGCGUUAUCCGGAAUUACUGGGCGUAAGGGGUGCGUAGGUGGUUUCUUAAGUCAGUGGUAAAAGGCUACGGCUCAACCGUAGUAAGCCUUUGAAACUGGGAAACUUGAGUACAGGAGAGGAGAGUGGAAUUCCCAGGGUAGCGGUGAAAUGCGUAGAUAUUAGGAGGAACACCAGUUGCGAAGGCGGCUCUCUGGACUGUAACUGACACUGAGGCACGAAAGCGUGGGGAGCAAACAGGAUUAGAUACCCCAGUAGUC
rnacentral:rRNA from 1 species